rnacentral:rRNA from 1 species
AUUGAACGCUGGCGGCAGGCCUAACACAUGCAAGUCGAACGAGUGGCGGACGGGUGAGUAAUUUCUGGGAAACUGCCUGAUGGCGGGGGAUAACUACUGGAAACGGUAGCUAAUACCGCAUACCAUCAGAUGUGCCCAGAUGGGAUUAGCUCGUAGGUGGGGUAAUGGCUCACCUAGGCGACGAUCCCUAGCUGGUCUGAGAGGAGGACCAGCCACACGGGAACUGAGACACGGUCCAGACUCCUACGGGAGGCAGCAGUGGGGAAUAGUGCACAAUGGGCGCAAGCCUGAUGCAGCCAUGCCGCGUGUGUGAAGAAGGCCUGAGGGUUGUAAAGCACUUUCAGCGGGGAGGCGUUACCCGCAGAAGAAGCACCGGCUAACUCCGUGCCAGCAGCCGCGGUAAUAC